GACGGAGGAUGCAAGUGUUAUCCGGAAUCACUGGGCGUAAAGCGUCUGUAGGUGGUUUAAAAAGUCUACUGUUAAAAAUUGAAGCUUAACUUCAAAGAUGCCGUAGAAACUUUUAAACUUGAGGAUGGUAGGGGUAGAGGGAAUUCCAGUGGAGCGGUGAAAUGCGUAGAUCUUGGAAAGACCACCAAUGGCGAAGGCACUCUACUGGGCCAUGACUGACACUAAGAGACGAAAGCUAGGGGAGCAAAUGGG
rnacentral:rRNA from 1 species